UAGUACCAACUAAGAAAUAAUAAUUAUCCUUAAUGCUAAGAGUAUUCGGCAAUUCAGUGAGUAAAACUGAGUAUGCAGCUCCGUUUAAAUCAAAUGUUAUGAUCUCGCCUAGCUUAAGUUCACCUUUCAACUCUGUGUCACAUUUUUGACACAUUGUGUUAACACAAAGAAAUUUUAAUCUAUUUGUGACUUUGAUUUUUAUAAAGUAUGCACUCUCCCUAAAAAAAUAAGACGUGAAUAACGAAAAUUUCGAAUAUGUGAAAAUGCAUGGACACCCUACUCUCAUACAGUUUCAUACCACUGUGUUUUUGUAAAUAUCUCCUAAAAUACGAAUGCUGCAGUUAAAUUCGCUAUAUUUAUUCAAACUAGGUUACGUUACCCAUCGACUAGUACUUUAAUUAAGCUAAAACCUACUUUUAAUAACGAGAAAAACGAAAUUGUAUUUUAGGCAUAUUGCCGUCCGCGCGGCCAACUAAAAUCGACUCUAACAUAUUAUUGAACCUGCUUUCUAGUAUUUUUUUGUCUUUUUUCGCUGUAACAAAUUAAAGACUAAUUUUCUAUACA